rnacentral:rRNA from 1 species
ACGAACGCUGGCGGCAGGCUUAACACAUGCAAGUCGAGCGCGCCCUUCGGGGUGAGCGGCGAACGGGUGAGUAACGCGUGGGAACGUGCCCCUUUCUUCGGAAUAGCCUCGGGAAACUGGGAGUAAUGCCGAAUACGCCCCUUACGGGGGAAAGAUUUAUCGGAGAGGGAUCGGCCCGCGUUGGAUUAGGUAGUUGGUGGGGUAAUGGCCUACCAAGCCGACGAUCCAUAGCUGGUUUGAGAGGAUGAUCAGCCACACUGGGACUGAGACACGGCCCAGACUCCUACGGGAGGCAGCAGUGGGGAAUCUUGGACAAUGGGGGCAACCCUGAUCCAGCCAUGCCGCGUGAUCGAUGAAGGCCUUAGGGUUGUAAAGAUCUUUCAGCUGGGAAGAUAAUGACGGUACCAGCAGAAGAAGCCCCGGCUAACUCCGU